rnacentral:misc_RNA from 1 species
AUAAGAACGUAGCGAAAUGCGAUACUUGGUGUGAAUUGCAGAAUCCCGUGAACCAUCGAGUCUUUGAACGCAAGUUGCGCCCGAAGCCACUAGGCCGAGGGCACGCCUGCCUGGGCGUCACACGCCGUUGCCCCCCCAUCUACUCCUUCGGGAUUGCGGGGGGGCGGAUGAUGGCCUCCUGUGCGCCUAGCCGCGCGGUUGGCACAAAUGCCGGGUCCUCGGCGACGAACGCCACGACAAUCGGUGGUUGUCAAACCUCGGUUGCCCGUUGUGCGCCUUCGCCGCGCCACGAGCGGCCCGCGAUAGCAAACGGCUCCGUUCCGGCGGAGCUUUCAACGCGACCCCAGGUCAGGCGGGGUUACCCGCUGAAUUUAAGCAUAUCAAUAAGCGGAGGA